rnacentral:lncRNA from 1 species
CUUCAUCUUUCUUAACAACCCCGAACCCACCACCGCCACCCAUCUUAUUCUCCAUUGACUCCCUUCUCCUUCUAGGGUUUUUCAUUUUCUUCUCCAACUCGUACUUGAUUUUCUCUUGCACAUACUUUGGCACCCCAUCUUGUUUAGAGUACUCCACACAUUCAUUUACGCAUAUAAAUAGGUAAGGAAUUUUAUUAUUUGAAUUGUUUAAUUCCUUCUUUUUAUUUUAUUUUAUUUUUUGUUCAGUUGCUUUAUGAAAUAGAACAUUCCCAAUGUAGUUUUAAAUGUUUUAGUUUCGUUUCUGCAUGGUUUAUUUAUAUGCAAUUUAAUCUUAAUUGUGGAAGCAUGUUGAGAAAAAACAGAGCUUGGUUAAAAAAUUCCUAAAUAACUUGAAUGUCAUCUGUAAUUUCUUGAAUAAAAAAAAGGAUGUCUGGUUUAGAGGGCUUCUCCUUGAACAGUAAAAAUUAUUCCAUGUUUUUUUCAUUAUUUCAUUUUUGUUUGCUUCAAACUGGGAUAUCUGCACAAAAUUAGUUCAAUUGUUAAUAGCAAAUGUACACUUUUUUCUUCAACUAAACACAUGAUGCAGUGACUUGAUUUCUCAAAAAAUAAAGAAAAAUUGGUGUUUUAGGACGAAUAAAGCAUGUAUAUAUAGGCCUAUACAUUCGAAAUCAACGUGUGAGACAUAUCUAAUCCAAGGACCAGAUUUGAACCUAUAGAGUACACUUUUUUUUCUUGAAGCAAUGGUUACACUUCCACCAUCUCAUAUACAUCAUUCAACCAUAGAAUGCCCCCAGGGCACAUCUCCAAGUGGUAAAAGGGGAGGGUGGAGAAAUCCAACUUUGCGUGAGGCUGCUGCGUCAAGAGUUCGAAUCCUGAAAUAUGGAUUUGGCUCUUGGGUAAGUGCAAGUGUACAAGCAGUCUUCCACCCUUGGAGGCAUAACCUGCGAUUUACCUCCCUCACGAUGCUCCAGGGCAGGGGUGGUGGGGGACCCUUAAGGUUAGGGUUUAACCUUUUUUUUUUAACCAUAGAAUAUUGUGCACAGUUUUCUAGGCCUUCUAAUUAAAAGUUUCGAGUCUUAUAACAUUCUAGAACUGAAACAACAAGGCUAUUCAUGAUUGGUUAGGGAAAUUCUUGAUCCCGCAUAAAGCAGGAAAUCCUGACCCAAAUGGUAAGCGGGGCUAGGACGGCAUGGGAGUCUAGUUCCCCAAAUCUUUUUAAUGUGCUUUAUUUUUGUAUUUUCAAAUUUAAUUGUAUUUGAAAAUUGAAAAAUAUUGCCCCUAUCUGUUCCCAACCUGCUUUUUGAAAAAUUUCCGAUUGAGCAAGGAUAUGAUAAUGGGGCUUAGACUCAGUGAAAAUUUACUAGAUGCAUAAACUUUCACAAUCUAGUCAUCUUCUCAUCUAUACAAAAGCCAUGGAAACGAAAUUUAACUGGUCUUUUCUGUAACUUUUUAAGGUACAAAAAAGGACUAAAUAGAGGUUAGACCUUCCUAAAAUCAAUUUGACCAAAUAAACAAGUGGAAAGAAUGUUCUCUUUUUUAUUUUAUUAUUAUUAUUUUUUUUUAUAAUUCUGGUAUCCAAAUUUCGCAUGAUUAAUCCUGAGGAGUGGCAGCCUGCCCCCCAGUUCGUCACCCGGGUAAAUCCGGAUGCAGACACAGCUUAUACACACUUGGACCGGACAUUCGGGAUGCGGUUGACCUCUCUUUAUGACUUGCGGACAGGACCUCGGAGGGCCGACAAAGCGUACAAUAAUUUUGUCUCCACAGGACAACUGUCUUCCAACAUAAAUGCUACCUUCCAGCUGUCGUGGGGAUUCGAACUUCCGAUACUCCGUGUGGAACUCUCCUGCUUUACAAAUGGAAAGAAUGUUCACUAAUAGGUAAGGUGGUCAAUGGUUAGAGACGGGAGGAUUAAUCCAUUUGGUUGAAAUAAUAGAUGACACGUUUAUUAGAAAAACUAUUAGUACUGUACGAUAGUAAAUAAUAGAAGAAAUGAACUUUUUUUUUAUUAUUUUAUCACAUAAUUAUGUUAAAAGAUGCUUUAAACUUGAUAAAAUCCUACGGUUUCACUCUAUGUAUAAUAACCUACGAGUAAAUUUAACCAAUAAUCACUGAACUUUACACUUGAUUACUACUUGCUCAUUCAUCUUUCACAUAUUACUGAAUGCUCACUCAUCUUUUCAUAUAAUUACUCAUUCAUCACUCGUCUCUUCAAAUAAUUGGGCGACUUUUACGGCAAAUUUUCGACAACUUCCGUACAC